rnacentral:rRNA from 1 species
AUUGAACGCUGGCGGCAUGCCUUACACAUGCAAGUCGAACGGUAACAGGUCUUCGGAUGCUGACGAGUGGCGAACGGGUGAGUAAUACAUCGGAACGUGCCUAGUAGUGGGGGAUAACUACUCGAAAGAGUGGCUAAUACCGCAUGAGAUCUACGGAUGGAAGCAGGGGAUCGCAAGACCUUGUGCUACUAGAGCGGCCGAUGGCAGAGUAGGUAGUUGGUGGGAUAAAAGCUUACCAAGCCGACGAUCUGUAGCUGGUCUGAGAGGACGAUCAGCCACACUGUGACUGAGACACGGCCCAGACUCCUACGGGAGGCAGCAGUGGGGAAUUUUGGACAAUGGGCGAAAGCCUGAUCCAGCAAUGCCGCGUGCAGGAUGAAGGCCUUCGGGUUGUAAACUGCUUUUGUACGGAACGAAAAGCCCCGGGUUAAUACCCUGGGGUCAUGACGGUACCGUAAGAAUAAGCACCGGCUAACUACGUGCCAGCCGCCGCAGUAA